CCUUUUUCUUCCCUCCCACGACCCUGGGAUGGAGGAAGAGGGUCUGGUUAACAGUCACACUGCAGAGGGAGUAAUUCCCUCCCCCUCCACAGGUCCUGUAUAGCGCCCCCCCUCCCCCCCACAGCCCGGGGAAAAUGAGUAAGAGCAGGAAGUGGAAAACACUUCGCAGAAAAAGUUCCCGGGAGAUAGAAACCCUACCUGGUCUCACGUUCUAUUCCCAGCUCCAGGACCCUGUCCGGCACAUCACAGGCACACAGCGUGCUAGCUGAACCGAACCUCGCUGUGUGGGUCUGAUGCUACGAGGACCCCUCCAGGUUCCUGCCUCCUGGGAUUUAUGUCCUAGAGACCUGCUCCUACCAACAGAACAUGGCAAAGGUUUGCCAGAUGGCGUGGGUCUUGCUGAGGUCCGGGACCGAGGGGGCGCGCAUGGAACUGGUGCGGCUUCAAAGCUCCUUUUUAAUCUUUAGCAACAUCACAGCGGCUGGGAAACUGCCUCGCGCUCUCAAGUCUCCCCCACAAAAGAGGCGCGGCCGCGGCUCUAAUGAAAGCCAGAUAAAGGGAUGGCUGGGAUCAGGAACAGAGGGAAAAGAGCAGUCGUUAGUCUUUCUUGUAGCUGUUUCAAAAGAAAUUCUAAGACAAA